ACCUAUUUUUGAAGCACGACUCUCCGAAGUCUCUGGAAAAGAAGGUCACGUUCUCUGAUGGCCCUCUCAUGUGGAACCCCAAUCCAACUCCUAUGCCGAUCGCGCGGUGAAUCUCGCACCACCCUCGCCCCUCGGUCUUCCGUUUCGUUUCCGCGCGAUGUCAAAUGCAGGAGUCUGAUUCGCGUUAGAUCGUCAGCUAUUUCAGCGCCUCCAAUGUCUGGUAGCUUUACUCCUGCAAUUUCAUUAACUGAUAAGGCACUAAACCAUCUGAAUACGAUGAGAUCUGAACGUGAUGAAGAUCUGUGCUUAAGAAUUGGAGUGAAGCAAGGUGGAUGCUCUGGCAUGUCCUACACUAUGGAGUUUGAAAAUCGAGCCAAUACACGACCUGAUGACUCAGUCAUAGAAUACAAUGGUUUUGUAAUUGUAUGUGAUCCCAAGAGCCUACUCUUCUUGUACGGAAUGCUGCUGGAUUACAGUGAUGCACUCAUAGGUGGAGGUUUCUCCUUUAAGAAUCCAAAUGCAACACAAACUUGUGGCUGUGGUAAAUCCUUUGCUGCUGAGAGUAUCUGACCACUUGACAGUAUGCUAUUGUUCUCAUAAAAUCAAUUUAAACUUGAUGUAUCCGUAAUCCUAAUUAAUUAUUUCUCUCCCUCCCUCUACUCACUAUUCUCACCAUGCGUGCAAAUAAGCAAGGGAAAGUGAAGAUAGAGGAAAAAAGAUGAGAAAAAGAAACACACUUGUGUAGCUCUAUUACCUAGCUAAUUUGGUCCAACAUAUGCUGGAAGUUUCAGAAAUUAUUAUUUUUGGGAUAUGUUUGAUAAUAUGGUUGAAGUGCUUUGAGAAGCUAUUACCAAGAAAAAAGAGCAAGCUGUUGCAUGAGACUCUUGUCAAUGUGGGAUCUGGAAACGAUUCGUUCUCUCAGAUCAACUUAUCUUGAUAGAUUGGAAACUUUGAUAAUGUUCUUGUAAUCAAGGAUUACUCCUCACUUCAAUUGCAACAGUACAAUGUUCUUAUUC